GCUGGGCACGGUGGCUCACGCCUGUAACCCAGCAGUUUAGGAGGCUGAGUGUGGACUUGAUGUGCCUGCAGGGCAUCCAGGACAUUGAGGUCCAGUGGGCGGUGGGACCUUCAGGUCUGAGACUGAGAAGAGAGGGCCAAGCUGAGAUACAGACCUAGGAGUUGGCAGCGUACAGAUGGCUGCUGCAGCCAUGGGGAUCCAUGAGACCAUCUGAGGGUGGGCACCCUGUGAGGUGCACAGGACUCCCAAUAACACCAACAUCAAGAGAUGACAGAGACAAGCAAAGCUACACAGGAGACAGAAGGAGCAUCCAGUGGAGGUGAAGGAGACUCAGAAGGCAUGGCAUCAUGCAGGCUGAGGGAAGAGGGCCGUGGCAAAUGCUGCAGAGAGGUCAGCUAAGGUGGUUGAAAUGGAAAUAACUCCAAGGAAGACUGUCAAAGACAGCCACGUGCUGAAGAUGACAGUCAGCUUGUAUCACUGAAUGACUAUGUAUUGUUAUGUAAGCAAGAUAUAAACAUCUACAUGGUU
rnacentral:lncRNA from 1 species